CUCUUCGGAGCAGGAAGACAGGUGGUGCAUGGUUGUCGUCAGCUCGUGUCGUGAGAUGUUGGGUAAGUCCCGCAACGAGCGCAACCUUAUCGUUAGUUGCUACCAUUAAGUUGAGCACUCUAGCGAGACUGCCCGGGUUAACCGGGAGGAAGGUGGGGAGUGACGUCGAAAUCAUCAUGCCCCUUAUGUCUAGGGCUACACACGUGCUACAAUGGUGAGGACAAAGAGACGCAAGACCGCGAGGUGGAGCAAAUCUCACAAACCUCAUCCCAGUUCGGAUUGCAGGCUGAAACUCGCCUGCAUGAAGCCGGAGUUGCUAGUAAUCGCGAAUCAGCAUGUCGCGGUGAAUACGUUCCCGGGCCUU
rnacentral:rRNA from 1 species